rnacentral:rRNA from 1 species
GAGCGGCGGACGGGUGAGUAACACGUGGACAAUCUGCCCCCCGGACCGGGACUAGCCCAGGGAAACCUGGAUUAAUACCGGAUGAGACGGGACCUGCGAUGGCGGGAUCCGGGAAAGGCGCUACGGCGCCGCCGGGGGAUGAGUCUGCGUCCCAUUAGCUAGACGGCGGGGUAACGGCCCACCGUGGCGACGAUGGGUAGCCGGCCUGAGAGGGUGGACGGCCACAUUGGAACUGAGACACGGUCCAGACUCCUACGGGAGGCAGCAGCUAAGAAUCUUCCGCAAUGGGCGAAAGCCUGACGGAGCGAACCGCCGCGUGAACGAAGAAGGCCGUGAGGUUGUAAAGUUCUUUUCGGGAGGGGGAACAACCGUGGCAGGGAAUGGCCGCGGGAUGACGUGAAUCCCGGAAUAAGCCCCGGCUAACUACGUGCCAGCCGCUGC